AAUAGAUACCCGGGUAGUCCACGCCGUAAACGAUGAAUACUAGGUGUAGGAGGUAUCGACCCCUUCUGUGCCGCAGUUAACACAAUAAGUAUUCCGCCUGGGGAGUACGAUCGCAAGAUUAAAACUCAAAGGAAUUGACGGGGGCCCGCACAAGCAGCGGAGCAUGUGGUUUAAUUCGAAGCAACGCGAAGAACCUUACCUAGACUUGACAUCUCCUGAAUUACCCUUAAUCGGGGAAGCCCUUCGGGGCAGGAAGACAGGUGGUGCAUGGUUGUCGUCAGCUCGUGUCGUGAGAUGUUGGGUUAAGUCCCGCAACGAGCGCAACCCUUAUCAUUAGUUGCUACCAUUAAGUUGAGCACUCUAGUGAGACUGCCACGGUUAACGUGGAGGAAGGUGGGGAUGACGUCAAAUCAUCAUGCCCCUUAUGUCUAGGGCUACACACGUGCUACAAUGGUGAGUACAAAGAGAUGCAAUACCGCGAGGUGGAGCCAAACUCAAAAACUCAUCCCAGUUCGGAUUGUAGGCUGAAACUCGCCUAC
rnacentral:rRNA from 1 species